rnacentral:rRNA from 1 species
GUGGAUUAGAUACCCUGGUAGUCCACGCCGUAAACGAUGUCAACUAGUUGUUGGGUUCCUUGAGGACUUAGUAACGCAGCUAACGCAUUAAGUUGACCGCCUGGGGAGUACGGCCGCAAGGUUAAAACUCAAAUGAAUUGACGGGGGCCCGCACAAGCGGUGGAGCAUGUGGUUUAAUUCGAAGCAACGCGAAGAACCUUACCUGGCCUUGACAUGCUGAGAACUUUCCAGAGAUGGAUUGGUGCCUUCGGGAACUCAGACACAGGUGCUGCACGGUCGUCGACAGCU